GGGACGACACACGCGGCAAAAUCAGGCCUCAGAAUUACGCAGGCGGAACCCUCAUCAAGGGCAGGGGUCCUGGAGUGUCCAAAGCUAGGGUCUUAGGGAUGUGCCUUCUAGCUGCCCACUCCGCCAGUUUAAAGCCCACCCCUCUACCGUCUCCACUCCUCCAGGGAUGGAAAGAGAUUCUUUCCGAGGACAGGAUUUGAUGUCUGUUCAACAUGUAUUUCUGCUGACCACUUCCAUCCUGUGAUGAAAGGGGACAGAGCUGCACGAGUUGCUCUGAAUCUCAGGAACUUAAAAUCCUUUAGGACAUACUGUCCAGUUAGCCCCACCACAGCAUUUUCCAGUGAACUGUGAUUAAAUACUGCCUCAGCUUGCUUUGUUGCUCAACAGUCUGGGAGCUGGGUGCACAUGGUGGGUGCUGGCCUCCCCCCCACUCUAUCCCUCUGCCGGAACAGCCCAAGGGGCUAGAAACUCGCCCUGGGGUGGGAGACUGGAUUCAGGUCCCAGCUCCAGUCCUACGUUCACACUUGGAACCUCCAACUCACCUGAUCCUUCUGGCCAAACGCACACCUCUUCACGCUCCCGCACUGGGGCUGUUCCAGCCAGGUGAGGCCGGCCCCUCAACCCACGGGUUUCCACAUCAAAGUCCUCCCUCUGAUCUUCCAAUCAAAUCUUCACUCCUCCACCCACUUUGACACCCAGUUCCCUGUCUGUUUCCCCCGGGAAUGUCUUGCCAACUCAACCAAGACCAAUUGACUGUACCCUUCUCCCUCGGCCUCCACUUGACCCUUGCUCCUGCUAGAGUUCAUCCAUCAUGUCUCCAUUCCUUAGUGUCCUUUGCCUGAUCCUUGAUAGUCAACUCACCGCCUACUCAUACCCUGUUGACCUUUGCUGUGUGUUUGGCCUCCUGCAGUCAUGUCUGCUAUUGGUGAGCUUGCCUGUGAGGGGAACACUUAGGGCCUCGGUGGAAGAUGGAGCAGCCUUUCCUCCUAGCUGGCUCUCCUAUCAGGCUAUGGAGUAUGUUUCUGCCCCUUCCACAUGCCAUUCGCCAUCACAUAGCCCCCCUGGAGGAGAGGUGGCAGAUGGGAGCCUGCUGGACCAGCCCCUGCUUUCAUGGCCCCGGGCGGGGAAGGGCAAUGUGUGUGUCAUUGCUCUACCUCUUCCACCCCAAGGGCCUCCAGUUGA